ACAUGAUGUGAUGUUACAUACUACUACAGUUCCAUACAUGAUGUGAUGUUACAUACUACUACAGUUACAUACAUGAUGUGAUGUUACAUACUACUACAGUUACAUACAUGAUGUGAUGUUACAUACAUGAUGUGAUGUUACAUACUACUACAGUUACAUACAUGAUGUGAUGUUACAUACUACUACAGUUACAUACAUGAUGUGAUGUUACAUACAUGAUGUGAUGUUACAUACUACGACAGUUACAUACAUGAUGUGAUGUUACAUACUACGACAGUUACAUACGUGAAUUGAUGUUACAUACUACCACAGUUACAUACAUGAUGUUACAUUCUACCACAGUUACAUACGUGAUGUGAUGUUACAUACUACCACAGUUACAUACAUUAUGUUACAUUCUACCACAGUUACAUACAUGAUGUUAUAUUCUACCACAAUUACAUACAUGAUGUUCCAUACUUGAUGUGAUGUUACAAACUACUACAGUUACAUACAUGAUGUGAUGUUACAUACUACUACAGUUACAUACAUGAUGUUACAUACUACUACAGUUACAUACAUGAUGUUACAUACUACCACAGUUACAUACAUUAUGUUACAUUCUACCACAGUUACAUACAUGAUGUUAUAUUCUACCACAAUUACAUACAUGAUGUGAUGUUACAUACUACCACAGUUACAUACAUGAUGUUACAUUCUACCACAGUUACAUACGUG
rnacentral:lncRNA from 13 species